rnacentral:rRNA from 1 species
GGGUGAGUAACGCGUGAGCAACCUGCCCUUCGGAGGGGGAUAGUGUCUGGAAACGGACAGUAAUACCGCAUAAAAUAUAUUUGCCGCAUGACAGAUAUAUCAAAACUGAGGUGCCGAGGGAUGGGCUCGCGUUGGAUUAGAUAGUUGGUGGGGUAACGGCCUACCAAGUCAACGAUCCAUAGCCGGACUGAGAGGUUGAACGGCCACAUUGGGACUGAGACACGGCCCAGACUCCUACGGGAGGCAGCAGUGGGGAAUAUUGCACAAUGGGGGGAACCCUGAUGCAGCAACGCCGCGUGAAGGAAGACGGUUUUCGGAUUGUAAACUUCUGUUCUUAGUGAAGAAGAAUGACGGUAGCUAAGGAGCAAGCCACGGCUAACUACGUGCCAGCAGCCGCGGUAAUACGUAGGUGGCAAGCGUUGUCCGGAAUUACUGGGUGUAAAGGGAGCGCAGGCGGGAAGCCAAGUCAGCUGUGAAAACUACGGGCUUAACUUGUAGACUGCAGUUGAAACUGGUUUUCUUGAGUGAAGUAGAGGUUGGCGGAGUUCCGAGUGUAGCGGUGAAAUGCGUAGAUAUUCGGAGGAACACCGGUGGCGAAGGCGGCCAACUGGGCUUUAACUGACGCUGAGGCUCGAAAGUGUGGGGAGCAAACAGGAUUAGAUACCCUGGUAGUCCACAC